UACGAGGGGGGCAAGCGUUGUUCGGAAUUAUUGGGCGUAAAGGGCGCGUAGGCGGUGCGGUAUGUCUCCUGUGAAAUCUCUAGGCUCAACUUAGAGUCUGCAGGAGAAACUGCCGUGCUUUGAGUGCUGGAGAGGUGAGUGGAAUUCCCGGUGUAGCGGUGAAAUGCGUAGAUAUUCGGAAGAACACCAGUGGCGAAGGCAGCGACUUGGCUCUGUACUGACGCUCAGGCACGAAAAGCAUGGGGGAUCAAACAGG
rnacentral:rRNA from 1 species